UACGUAGGGGGCAAGCGUUUGUCCGGAAUUAUUGGGCGUAAAGAGCUUGUAGGCGGUUUGUCGCGUCUGCUGUGAAAAUCCGGGGCUCAACCCCGGACUUGCAGUGGGUACGGGCAGACUAGAGUGUGGUAGGGGAGACUGGAAUUCCUGGUGUAGCGGUGAAAUGCGCAGAUAUCAGGAGGAACACCGAUGGCGAAGGCAGGUCUCUGGGCCACUACUGACGCUGAGAAGCGAAAGCAUGGGGAGCGAACAGG
rnacentral:rRNA from 1 species